UCUCCGUAGGUGAACCUGCGGAGGGAUCAUUACAGAGUUCUCGCCCUCACGGGUAGAUCUCCCACCCACUGUUAUCGUUACUGUCGUUUCUUUGCCGGGCGGCCGGGUCCCCGGCCCCCGGCGCCUAGCUGCCGGCGCGCGCCCGCCAGAGGCCUUCAAACUCUGAAUGUUAGUGUCGUCGGAGUACUAUAUAAUAGUUAAAACUUUCAACAACGGAUCUCUUGGUUCUG
rnacentral:misc_RNA from 1 species